UGGGGAAUAUUGCACAAUGGGGGAAACCCUGAUGCAGCGACGCCGCGUGAACGAAGAAGGUAUUCGUAUCGUAAAGUUCUGUCCUAUGGGAAGAUAAUGACAGUACCAUAGAAGAAAGCUCCGGCUAAAUACGUGCCAGCAGCCGCGGUAAUACGUAUGGAGCGAGCGUUGUCCGGAAUUAUUGGGCGUAAAGGGUACGCAGGCGGUUUAAUAAGUCGAAUGUUAAAGAUCAGGGCUCAACCCCGCAAAGCAUUGGAAACUGAUAAACUUGAGUAGUGGAGAGGAAAGUGGAAUUCCUAGUGUAGUGGUGGAAUACGUAGAUAUUAGGAGGAAUACCAGUAGCGAAGGCGACUUUCUGGACACGAACUGACGCUGAGGUACGAAAGCGUGGGGAGCAAACAGG
rnacentral:rRNA from 1 species